AACGCCACCUAGUAGGACUCCUGGUCCUUUCUGUAAGUGCUCUCCAAACGAAAGAAGUUUCUUACUGUCAAAGUAAUCUUGGGCAAACAGAAAGCACAUAA
rnacentral:lncRNA from 1 species